AUGAUGAAGUGUGAUAGCGAACAACACAGACUAACCCAAUCCGAGCGGUACCGAAAUCUUCGCCGGAACCUCACCGCAGGCUAACCAGAAAUGGCGAGAACUUGAUCGGAACCCUAGCCGGGAAACCCUAGACUCGACGACUUCGUCUCUGUGGGUGUGAGGCGAGCACGCGUGGGGUCGUUUGCCGGAGAUUCGCCGGCUCCGGCUCUCUCUAUUGUCU
rnacentral:lncRNA from 1 species